GACGAACGCUGGCGGCGUGCUUAACACAUGCAAGUCGAGCGGAAAGGCCUUUUCGGAGGUACUCGAGUGGCGAACGGGUGAGUAACACGUGGGUGAUCUGCCCUGCACUCUGGGAUAAGCCUGGGAAACUGGGUCUAAUACCGGAUAGGACCGCACUUUAGUGUGUGUGGUGGAAAGUUUUUUCGGUGUAGGAUGAGCCCGCGGCCUAUCAGCUUGUUGGUGGGGUAAUGGCCUACCAAGGCGGCGACGGGUAGCCGGACUGAGAGGUUGGUCGGCCACAUUGGGACUGAGAUACGGCCCAGACUCCUACGGGAGGCAGCAGUGGGGAAGAUUGCACAAUGGGCGCAAGCCUGAUGCAGCGACGCCGCGUGGGGGAUGACGGCCUUCGGGUUGGAAACUCCUUUCGCCAGGGACGAAGCGUUUUGUGACGGUACCUGGAGAAGAAGCACCGGCUAACUACGUG
rnacentral:rRNA from 1 species